CCUACGGGAGGCAGCAGUGGGGGAUAUUGCACAAUGGGGGGAACCCUGAUGCAGCGACGCCGCGUGGGUGAAGAAGCGCCUCGGCGCGUAAAGCCCUGUCAGCAGGGAAGAAAAUGACGGUACCUGAAGAAGAAGCCCCGGCUAACUACGUGCCAGCAGCCGCGGUAAUACGUAGGGGGCAAGCGUUAUCCGGAUUUACUGGGUGUAAAGGGAGCGUAGGCGGUUUAGCAAGUCAGAAGUGAAAGCCCGGGGCUCAACUCCGGGACUGCUUUUGAAACUGUUGAACUAGAUUGCAGGAGAGGUAAGUGGAAUUCUCGGUGUAGCAGUGAAAUGCGUAGAUAUCGAGAGGAACACUCGGGGCGAAGGCGGGUUCCUGGACAUUAACUGACGCUGAGGCACGAAGGCCAGGGGAGCGAAAGGGAUUAGAUACCCUAGUAGUC
rnacentral:rRNA from 1 species